rnacentral:lncRNA from 1 species
CUUCAUGGGAAGAUCCCUGCUUUCAAAAGCAAUGUGCUUGUGAAUACUAAUGGCAAUCUCGACAUCGGUAAAGAUAAAAGCUCUUUAUCUCCUCCUUCUUCAUCUUCAGAUGGUUCAGGAUCAAGGAUCAAAGGUGAUAGUGAUGGGAGAGGAGUAAAGUCUUCGACUUUCAUAGGAAUCAUCAUUGGUUCGGUUCUCGGUGGUCUGUUAUUGAUCUUCUUGAUCGGUUUACUAGUUUUCUGCUGGUACAAGAAGAGGCAAAAGCGGUUAGGUGAGAGCUCAAACGCGGUUGUGGUACAUCCAAGACACUCAGGCUCGGACAAUGAAAGUGUUAAGAUCACAGUCGCGGGCUCAAGCGUUAGCGUUGGAGGCAUAAGCGAGACAUACACGCUUCCCGGUACUAGCGAGGCAGGAGAUAACAUCCAAAUGGUUGAAGCAGGAAACAUGCUGAUCUCAAUCCAAGUGCUUCGUUCAGUGACUAACAACUUCAGUGAAGAUAACAUUUUGGGACGAGGAGGUUUCGGUGUUGUGUACAAAGGCGAGCUACACGAUGGAACCAAGAUCGCGGUUAAGAGGAUGGAGAAUGGAGUGAUUGCUGGUAAAGGGUUUGCGGAAUUCAAAUCAGAGAUUGCGGUUUUGACA